rnacentral:rRNA from 1 species
AUUGAACGCUGGCGGCAUGCCUUACACAUGCAAGUCGAACGGCAGCACGGACUUCGGUCUGGUGGCGAGUGGCGAACGGGUGAGUAAUGUAUCGGAACGUACCUUUCAGUGGGGGAUAACGUAGCGAAAGUUACGCUAAUACCGCAUAUUCUGUGAGCAGGAAAGCAGGGGAUCGCAAGACCUUGCGCUGAUUGAGCGGCCGAUAUCAGAUUAGCUAGUUGGUGGGGUAAAGGCCUACCAAGGCUACGAUCUGUAGCGGGUCUGAGAGGAUGAUCCGCCACACUGGAACUGAGACACGGUCCAGACUCCUACGGGAGGCAGCAGUGGGGAAUUUUGGACAAUGGGGGCAACCCUGAUCCAGCCAUGCCGCGUGAGUGAAGAAGGCCUUCGGUUGUAAGACUCUUCGGUCCGGGACGAAAGUACGCAUAGGCUAAUACCUCGUGUGGAGUGACGGUACCGGAAGUAAGAAGACACCGGCUAACUACGUGCCAGC